AGCUCGAUAGCGCAGUGGUAGCGUGCUGGGCCCAUAACCCAGAGGUCGAUUGAUCGAAACAAUCUCGAGCUA
rnacentral:tRNA from 1 species